GCUAAAAUGCACACAUAGGUAUGGUUAUGAAUGAGUUAGCUGUCCAUGCAAUUUUUUUUUUUUAAAGCCGCUUUAUUUUUUUAAAUAUAUUGUGUUAUCUUGAAAAAAGGCUGUCAUCACUUUUAAUCGCUGUAGUGUGUUGUAGGCUGCUAGCGUUUGGGUAGUUUCGCUGGCUAACAUUAACUGUCUAUUAUCAACUAGCUAGCGUCAUCAUGUUUAAACGUUAAUAAUUAGCAAGCUAGCUUGUACAACAGUGGGUGGGGGGGCUGCUAGUUACCUAGCAUUUCACAAUGUUAUCAGAGCUUGUCCUGAAGCCAAAGCUACCAACUUUCUGGUGGUUACAAAGAAGAUAGGAAAGAGGUCGAGAGCUAGUUAGACUAAUUAUUCUAUCUAUCUACAGUACUGACCGUUUGUGCACUGUUGAGCUAGCAAUAGCCAGCACAUGCCUCCUUGACCCGAACCUACUUACUAGAUGCCUGGCUUCUAUGUGUAACGUACACUUGUUCAUGCCUAUCCAGCCCUAAUUUACCUCCAGAGAUACGGGUUUAUCUAAAACAUUUUGGAGCAAACUUAAGUCGCCAGUACGAUAACUAGAGUAAUUAGCUAGCCUACUUAAAUGGACAAUCUGAGGUUUCUACAAUCAUUUUUAGACCUUUUAAAUACAUUUUUAUGUAGGAUACCCAUUGAUUAUUGAAUGUAACUCGUAGAUGCCUCAUGAGCCUAAUUCAACUGUCAUACCCAUCAGAACCUGUCAGGUGGUAAAGUCAAACCAAAGAGUAAAUACACCAGACAUGAACAUCACCAAAAAUACAUUUAGCAUGGAGGACUCCGGUCGAGGAGCCAGCUACACAGUGCCCUGUGACGACUACGUCCAUGUGGUGGAGUUUAGCCCAUUUGACAGUGGCUCAGUUGCGUCCCUCUUGGCCUAUUGAGGAAACCAAUAUGUGGUUGUAGGCACCUGCUGCUUCCAGGUGAGUGGUAGCCUGCCAGAUUCCUCUUCCUCAUGUCUUCUUUUCUAGCCUCCCUUCUCAAAAGGCAUCAGAAGAGAAGAUCCUCCCAAGGUUCCUCUCUGAGGAGGCAUGGUUAGGGGACACAAGGAAAUGAGCCAGUGUUUUGGUUCCAUGUGUGAUGUAAACCACUGCUGUAUGUGUGACUUGAACCACUGUUUGAGCAGGAGGAGGACAUGGAGGUAGAGGGGGUUGAAUUCACCACACUGCGUUUUUUCCAUCAUGUGUUACGUAUGGAUUGCCUCGCAUGGAGCCCUGAGUCUCGGCUGGACAACCUGCCCCAACUCAUCAGGUAGCCUACCUUAAACCUUUAAGUUCUUACAGCUGUCUUCUGUCUUUACAGAAGUCCUGGAGUGCCCUGCAGUAAGUAACACCUGAUUCAGCUCAUCAUGGUGCAGACUGAUGACGUGGUUAGUUGGUUAUUUGGACCAGCCACUGCUGUGAGUUGAAGCUGCGCUACUGUUUUUCUUUCUUAAUCUCUCUAUGUAAAAUGUAUUUAUAAAGCCAUUUUAUAUCAGCAGAUGUCACAAAGGUCUUAUACAGAAACCCAGCCUAAAACCCCAAAGAGCGAGCAAGCAAGCAGGAGAGGGCGAGAGGGAUACUUAAGACCACACAGGACUCCAAUAAGACAGGAGAAAAACAUCAGAUAGGACAGACCCACCCUAGCCCCCUGGCAGACUGUUGCAGCAUAGAUAUUGGGGACUGAGACGGAGGGGUCGGGAGACACUGUGGCCCUAUCCCACGAUACCCCCAGACAGGGCCACCCACUUUGCCAAAGCACAGCCUCCACACCACCAGAUGGAUAUCAACAGACCACCAACUUACUACCCUGAGACAAGGCGAGGUAUAGCCCGCAAAGUUCUCCCCCACUACACGAGCCCGAGGGGGCACAAGACCAGACAGGAAGAUAACAUCAGUGACUCAACCCACUCAAAUCAAGUAUAGCGAAACGAGCCUGGCAAGACGUGAUCCACCCCUCCGACUAACGACAUGGGAGUGCACUAGCAAGCCAUACUCACCCCCGUAAUAGGGUCAGUGGAGAGAAUCCCGGUGGAGAGAGAGGAGCCGGCCAGGUAGAGACAGCAAGGGUGGUUCAUCACUCCAAUGCGUUGCUGUUCACCUUCGCAUCCCUGGUUUCAGACUACACUCAAUCAUAGGACCUACUGAAGAGAUGAGUAUUCAAUAAAGACUGAAAGGUUGAGACCGUUUCUGCAUCUCUCAUAUGGAUCAGUAGACCAUUCCAUAACAAUGGAGCUCCAUAGGAGAAAGCCCUGCCUCCAGCUGUUUGCUUAGAAAUUCUAAGAACAUUGAGGCCUGUGUCUUGUGAACGUCGGGUAUGUGUAGGUAUGUAUGGCUGGACCACCUGCUUAUCCCAGAGCCAUAUAUUUACCUAAAUAUGUCUCUGUAUCAUCCAUCUACACCAACUCUGUGUCAGUCAGUGGUAUGAAACCCUCAGUAGUCUUGGCCCAGCUGUAUUCUUGUCUGUGGCCCACUGUAGUGGUGGAAUACCAACCCAGUUAUUUCAGGUGUGGUUUGAUUUUUUUUAAAGGAUGUUGAACGUUAUUACAUAGAAAGCAAGGUUUUCCUCUUAAUUGGAAUGGUGGAUGGGAAUGCUGUAAUCCCGCAGGAGAUGUUUCCAAGUUGCUUUAAUUGAAAGGGAAAGGCAGUGAUACUUCCUGACCUUUCGUGGUGAAGUCUGCAGGGCCCUGGGGGCUGGCGUGUGACGUGCGCACGUGUUAUUGCACUGAUGGCUCCCCCUCUCAAGUUUCGUCCCUCCCCUAGUUUUGCACGUAGUUAUGCCUUCCAGGAAAAGCAGUGUUCUCACGGGCGUGCCUGAGGCAGGGGCCGGCAAGGGUGCUAAGAGGAGGGGGGGUAGGGGGCUUACGCUGGGAGGCUCCCAGAUUCUACCAGGCCAGCCAUGUGAGGUCCAGUCAGCAAACUCUAGGUAGAUUCUGGGGAACUGUCAGGAACACUUCCCCAGCAUCAGCUCAGGGCCAAAACAGACCCAGUCAUUAGUCAACCCUGUGACAUUGACAAGUCUUUGAAGAUUGUCUCAUGAAGAAAUGUUCUCGGACUUGGCACCUGUUCUUUCAUUGAUAAUAGUCCUGCAGUGUAGGCUAAAUCUAGAUAGCUAGUUCAUAUUGCAAGACUGUGAAGUAUGUAUUGAAUUAGAGGUUUGAUGAUAACUCUUUGGCAAUGCCUAGAAAUUGAGUUGAAUGAAGGGUGAAAUGCCCUCCACAAUUCACUGACUACUAGGCUAUGUAUCAGUUGUUGGUAUAAUCACCUGUACCAGUUGCUUGGGGGAAUAUUCUGGCUGUGUAUCGUGACAUUAUGCCAAAUCCGUCUGUUCCUGCAACUGCAAAUGUGUGAAAAUGCGUCUGUUUUUCUUGAAAUAUGUGUUUUGCUUGCGAUAUGUGUGUUUUUCUUGUCAUAAGUGAGUUAGUGUAAUUGUGUAAGUAAUUGCAGGCGCUGGUAUAUACUACGACUGAUUAGAGGCAAAGUCAUCUCCCAGGUGUUAGAAAUGCUCAGAUGGCGUGAGGAAUCUUUGUUUUUCUCCAUGUUUAUCUUCGCAAUUAGAAUCUCCCUGGCAGUGUUUCCAUUGAUCCAUGUCCAAGUCUUUACCACACACACACAUCCAAAGGUGUCAGCCCGGACUGCAGUGCAGUCAGACGCAUAGACAUGUACGUGUGCCCGAGUGCGUGUACGCAUGUCUUAUAGUAGGAUGGGCUCUGUUUUGAUGUUCUUUCUUUGUUUGUUUUUCUCUCUCUCUGUCUUUCCCACCAGAUUUUGCACUGCUGCAGCAGACAGAAAAGUGAGGCUGUUAACUUCUGAUCUUCAGAAUCAACAUGAAGUCAAGGUAGAAUACUGGAGCCCCUGCCCUCACGACUAGAUCCCACUGUCCCACUGCAACUACUGCACCUGUCAGUUCAGUUGGCAUCUGGUUUCUUAAAAACAAACCGUUUGUAUAUAGCACACUGACAGUAGGCACUUAGUGAAUGGCUUUUAUAUUAGCCUAAUCAAGAACCCAGCGCACACAAGGAGCCAGGGAACUGUCAUACAGUCUAUGGGAGGCUCGCACCAAAUGCAGCGUUUUGUUAAUUGUAUCUUCUGUGGCGAUGUAUGGGUGGUUGUCUAGGUGAUGGAGGGUCACACCAGCUACAUCAACCACUUAGUGUUUGAACCCACGGAAGGGAAACAAAUGGCUUCGGUCAGCGAUGACCAUACAUGCAGGUCAGUCCGAACCUCCUCCCGGUCUCAUUCAGCAAGAAUAAUAUGAGUGUGUGAGAGUGUCUUCCCCCAGCUCUUGGAUCUGUGUUCUGUUCUCUGUUAAUGGUGCAGAACGUCCUGACUGUGUUUCCAAAAUGAAACCCAAUGCUUAGCACAACACACCCCGGUGUUGCCGUGCGUAAGCACACAGCCGCUUCUCCAGCUUUUUAAAGUAAUUGGUUAAAUAUGGAAAUCCAAUUAGCUGCGGUACUGGUGGAGGUUGUUCCCCUCCUUAGGGUUGACUCUUAACAAGGUCCCCCAAUGUGGCCUAUCAAUCAGUAGCUAGGUAGUGGAGCAAGGAAGGAAAGAGUGUGCCGUUAGCCAAAGGGGUAACCUGGGCACAGGAGGUUAGUGGUACCUUAAUUUGGGAGAGCGGGCUCAUGGUAAUGACUUGAGCAGAAUCAGUGGAAUGGUAUCAAAUCCAUGGUUUCCAGGUGUUUGCUAUUCCAUUAGUUCCGUUCCGGCUAUUAUUAUGAGCCGUUCUCCCCUCAGCAGCCUCCACUGAACCUGAGGGGACCUCCUGUUACCUUAGUAACUAGGGUUGUUGCUAGGGUCUAGACAGGGCGAAAGCCUGGCCCAAAUCCUACUCCCUCUUUGCUCCUUCCCACACAAUGUGAGCUCUUAUUGUUUGACCAGUGAUUGAUGGGGGAGAACGUUUAAUCAAGUUAGCAACUUAGAAAUGAAUGACUGGCCCCUACUUUUCUCUCCGCUAGAGCCUGAAAGAGCACGUCCCUCAUAUCCAUCUUUAAACCCAAAGCUCCCUGGAUGAGAAACGCACCUGAAACAUCUGCUUCUAUUCAUAAACUCAUAAUUUCAGGAGCCUGAAGCUCGCGGUUACACUUCCAGUCAUCAAAUACAGGCCAUGGUUGAAUUAUCUCCUCAAUCUCCUUCCGCCCUGCUUAAAUGCUCUAAAGUGUUGGUUAGGAUGAGGGCUGUGGGGAGAGAGAGGCCUCCGCUAGGGCUGGUGAUGAAGCUCUGCUACUGCGAGAAACAUCAGCUCACAGUUCUCCCUCAGCCUCCCUCUAUAAUGGUCUGGCCAGAGAAAACAGGGGUACGCUCUCUCGGCUCCAUCUGCAGAAAGAUUUAGAUUCUGUCACGUUGAGAAAAUAUGGGACGCAGGAGAAAGAGUGGGGUGGAACUAGGGAAAGAUCAAGUUAACAGGAGAGGGGCCUUCCAGGCAGCCCACACAAACUGAGACCCCUGAUAGGGUGAGAGAAAAGAACAGUGGACCGGCUUCUCUACUUGCGUGCGUGUUCGUACACUUGGCAAGUUGUCCUACCAUAACUCUGCUUUGUUCUUUGUCAGCCCUGUCCUUUCCUGCGUGGGAACUCUACUCCAGCCGGAGAGGCCACCUGUAGCAGCUAGAAGGAGGUCACAGCCUCCCACUGAGGUCAGAGUGUCUGCCAGAGGUCCCAACCUCUCUGGGCUCGGCUCCCAUUGUGUCUCAUAGCUUCCAGUUGGAUUUGCAGUAGGUAUGUUUCUGUUGUGUGAGAUGGAUUCCUCACUUCAGCCAGCUCUGGUUUCGUGUUGACAUGGAUCAGCAGAAUACAGCUUACUCAAGGGGCUUGAACAGAGACACCUGCUGCAACUAUUUGAUGUGCGAGAUCUACUCUGUGUGUCAUAUUUUUGGGCAGUAUUUCUGAGGCGUUAUCACAACAGUUUGAGCCUUUCUCCCCACUCUAGCCCGUCAGUCAAGCUAUCUGUCAGUUAGUAUGUCCAUGUCCACUCUACACAUCCCAGUCUUUCAUCUCCUUGUUUCUCCUUUUCUUCUCAUGUUCUCAAGCUUUUUUUGCUCCGUGCUACGGGAUCCCAUCAUCAACUCUAGCGAGAGGAGCAAACCGAUCCAAUAAAAAUGACUAAUGGCCGAGAUAAUUAUUUCAACAGUCCAAAUGUCUGCUAAAGAACAUGUUAUUGUUCAAGACACUUGAGCAGGUCUGGUCAAGAUGGAUGUUGGUGUGGUUUUGAGGAGAGGAGGACGGCGUGCUGUGCUCCUCUGCCUGGACUCCCCUGUGAGGCUCUGAGGUGUGAUUACUGUUUGUCUUUCUCAACCCUCGUUCUGCCGAGAGUCGCCAAGGUUAUUUACCCUGCACACUCUCAUAAUUUAGUUCACACGGUGCACUCUACGUUUCCCAUUUCCUCCGCUCAUUUGGAAACCGUUGACCGAAAUGAAAAGGUGCGGCUGCUGUUGUCUCACUCACAUCUACACGCAGACUUCAAAUGCAGUCUCGCCUUUCAACUCUAUUUUACAUGAAGCCCAGUGUUAAUGCUUGAUGUCACGUCAGCUGUAGUGUUAUGCAAUUACACAUCUCUUUGUCAGUGGUGGUCUCCGUCUUGUUUCUUGCCCCCUUUCACCUUGUUCAGCAAGGAUUACAUUGAAACAUUUUUAAAAUCAUAAUCUUUCCCCAUUUGAAGGGCAAAGUGGUGGACCACAACUUGGCCGCAUGCGGCGUAGCGUGCGAUUGAACUCUGCUUGGCGAGUGGUCUGAGAAGAGAGGGUUUAUGCUUGUUUGUCUGCUGUGGUCUGAGGUUUCCAACCUCGCUCAUGCUCUAUGGAGGAGGGUCUGCACCGCACUCUACAUAGGGCCAUUCUGACUUCUGUGUUGUGUCAAGAAGCAAAAGCUCUCAUGGAGAAAUGUUUUAUCCCCUGCAGGGAAGACACAGGAAAAGUUGUGUUUGUUUAAUGAGGUCUUCAUCUGGGAUGGGGCAAAAUCAUAUCCUCUCCGCCGCGACUCUGCAGACAUCUCUCCAACAUGUUUGACAUUUAGACAGGCUUUGGGUCUUUAUUAGAUGUCUUCUGCAUGACCUCAUCAGUCAACGCAUUCACAUCGGUCCCAACCAUACAGUCCUUUAAAAAACAUGUUUUAACUACUUGCAAGUUUAUUCCUCCCUGGUUCAGGGGAAUGUUCUGUUAGAUACGAGGCCUUGUGUUCGCUGAGGAGGGCUCUCAAAUGUGGCUGAAGAGUAGAUCCUGGUCUUGGGAGCAGCCUGUCUUCUCCAAGUGAUUUAUUACAUCCGGGCGCACGUUUGCCUUGUCCUCUGCCUUCUCGCUCGUCGGUGCAGGGCCCCGCCCGCCUGUCUUCACAGCUCAAGGGGGAGAUUACAACCAAGAUCCCUUUUUCCCUGAAAGAAGGGCAGUACUAGUGAGGCUCUGUGUGCGCAUCUCUUGGACAACUGACAGAAGUUAGAUAAAUUACACACAGGCAUUACGUGCUUUCAGAAAAACACUGGCAUCACUACAGGCCUGGUGUGUGCUGCUCACUCAUUAGAGUACAUUCCCGAAGAGAGUCUCUCAGACACCUGGGGAAAGGUGGGUUUGGAUGGAAGCUUGUAACUUUUUUGACAUGGAUCCUGUGAGACAAAAACAGCCAGCCAGCCAUGAUGUCUUUGUUGUUUUUCAUAUUUUUAGCUGCCAUUAGCGUGUGUAAUCCUUUGUUUUGUGUGCUGUCAGCACCAAGGCGUCUGCCUGCGCUGUGCUGCGCGUCAUCUCCUCUCCCCACACAGGGGGUGGCUGGACUCCGGAAGCUAUUUUUAGCAUUGCCGCGUGUCCCACUCCAGCACAGCUAAUUGAGUGCUUAUUAAUUUUGUUUUUUGGACUUGAUAAUUUCUCAUUUUUGACAGGAACUGUUUUAUCUGAAGCUUCGGACCGGGUUGUUUUUUUGAAUCGCAGACUUCCUGUCUGAGGUUGUUUUCUAAACGGGUAGUUGAGGACAGGAGAAUAAUUUUCUUACAGUCCUUAAACGGUUCAUUUCCCCUGAGCACACCCCCUCUCCCUUUCAUGCCAGAUGGCCUCUCAGUAACAGUGCAUUCCAGUUUCAUAAUGAGAGUUUAAAUAAUUAGUGAGAGUGAAAAGUUCUAGUGUGGGAGUGAAAAGAUCUAGUGUGGGAGUGAAAAGAUCUAGUGUGGGAGUGAAAAGAUCUAGUGUGGGAGUGAAAAGAUCUUGCCAUACUAAACCUUGAUCCUCUGUACAGCUGAUGGUGGCCGAGAAGAAGGGACGAUCCGCUUCUAUGACCUAGUUACCCAGCAAGCCAUUCUUUCUCUGGAUUGCGGCCAGUCGCCACUCAUGUCGGCUGACUGGUGCCUCGCCAACACCAUCAAGGUGGGCGCGGUGACGGGCAGCGACUGGGUCAUCUGUGAUAUUACCCGCUCCAGGUGAGUGGCAGGACAGAUGCUUGUGACCGACUGGGUUUGAAACCGGGUCUCUAGCACGCCAAAAUACUUUGUUAGCCCCAAGAGCUUUAUUCCCACACCCAGCUAACACAAGUCUUAAUGUCUCAGACAAGGUUACCCAUCACCUCAGUUACAUACUGUGUAACACUACUGUAUGAAGGCAUGGGUUUUGUUUGUAGUUACCCACAAGAGAAGAGGCCUGCCCAUGUAGAACGAGUAGGAAACUUCAGAUAACUGCUUUGUCCAUGCUUCCAAGGUCAUUUCUAUCUGGUAUCAUUGGAAUGUCCCUCCCACAUUGAAAAUGAAAUGGUUAUGGUAAGGUUUAUGGUUAGGGUAGAGGGUAGGAAUGUCCCAAGGAUCCUGAAUGCUUCCAAUUACUCUGACCUUCAGAGUAUUGUGAUGCAUGUUGUGGUUGUCCGGCUGAUACCGCUGCUGCCGACGACGUCCAUGUUAAUGGCUGUGGUGAUGGUGAUAAUGGUGAAGGCAAUUACUGUAACCACGGGUGUCAUGGUCUUCCAGGUGGUCUCGGGUCAAUGAGAAUCUCUUCUCCACAACAUGAUGUCCAGGCAAGAUCAGCAGUCAGUUACUAGUGCAUCACCUGGGUCACCCGCAGCCCGUGAUGAUUGGAUCAGCCACGGUGGGGGCAGGUCUAAACUGGCAGAGGUCCCUCCCACUCUGUGUCAUUGGCGGUGACCGAAAGCUCACUUUUUGGAUGACAGAAAUGUAAUGCAGUCACUUCCUAUGGACAUAUUAGAGGUAAUGCAAAUGUACAUUGAAACUGUUUGACCCGAGGUGUGGUCGGAUAUUUCUAUUUUCAUCAUUUUUCAAUAAAGUAUUUAAUUUUCCAUG